UGGGGAAUUUUGGACAAUGGGCGAAAGCCUGAUCCAGCAAUGCCGCGUGUGUGAAGAAGGCCUUCGGGUUGUAAAGCACUUUUGUCCGGAAAGAAAUCCUUGGCUCUAAUACAGUCGGGGGAUGACGGUACCGGAAGAAUAAGCACCGGCUAACUACGUGCCAGCAGCCGCGGUAAUACGUAGGGUGCAAGCGUUAAUCGGAAUUACUGGGCGUAAAGCGUGCGCAGGCGGUUUGCUAAGACCGAUGUGAAAUCCCCGGGCUCAACCUGGGAACUGCAUUGGUGACUGGCAGGCUAGAGUAUGGCAGAGGGGGGUUAGAAUUCCACGUGUAGCAGUGAAAUGCGUAGAGAUGUGGAGGAAUACCGAUGGCGAAGGCAGCCCCCUGGGCCAAUACUGACGCUCAUGCACGAAAGCGUGGGGGAGCAAACAGGAUUAGAUACCCCUGGUAGUCCACGCCCUAAAACGAUGUCAACUAGGUUGUUGGGGAUUCAUUUCCUUAGUAACGUAGCUAACGCGUGAGUUGACC
rnacentral:rRNA from 1 species